CAAAAGUAAACAGUGAAUUAUCUUUUUCUCUUCAUCCCUCUGCUAAAUAUUACAAUUCCAUUCGUCAGGAAAAUCUUUUUUUCAUUUAUUUGUCAGUGGAUACAAUAACGUUUCUUCGAAGAAUCGUCUUUUGUGGAGUUUGAACUGUUACGUUUUACCUUGCUUUUGCGUCUUGAGCUUGAGCUGAUUGUUCGAGAGGAUGACUUUAACUUACUUUUGCGUCUUGAUUCGGAACCCAAUUUUCCAGAUUUUGUUGUCAGCCCUCCUCCAAGUUCAAGCGUUCUGUCUUCUUUCUCAUACUCUGAAGAUCCUGAUGUACUUCCAUACCCAUAAUCAGAACUUGCUCUAUCAUCAUCAUCUUCACUAUCAAGAACAUUUUCAGGGUGAUGAUUAAUGCCAACACUUCGAUAACCUUGAUCUUUUUGUUGAUCAUUCUCACUGCUCUGAUCCUCAUUCCUUUUUGGAGACGAAGGAGAUUCAGGAAUUGGUUCAUCAACAUUGAGGGUAGUAAGAGCAGCAACGACAUCACUGAUCAAUGGACGGACUGAUGGCUCUUCUUGAAGACACAUGGCUGCAACCCCAACUGCCUGAUUCAAAC